rnacentral:rRNA from 1 species
UACGGAGGGGGCUAGCGUUGUUCGGAAUCAUUGGGCGUAAAGAGCGUGUAGGCGGUCCGGUAAGUCCGCUGUGAAAGUCGGGGGCUCAACCCUCGAAUGCCGGUGGAUACUGUCGGGCUAGAGUGCGGAAGAGGCGAGUGGAAUUCCUGGUGUAGCGGUGAAAUGCGCAGAUAUCAGGAGGAACACCUAUUGCGAAGGCAGCUCGCUGGGACGUUACUGACGCUGAGACGCGAAAGCGUGGGGAGCAAACAGG